UGACAUUAAGUUAGUUAACAGGUCGAUGACGCAGCGAUGGGACGUCAAUUAGACCUCUGCGGUUUUAAGAUUAACGUUAGCCUUUUUGUUUUUCAAAAACAACGUUAACACGUUAAUAAGUUAUGGAUUCGCCGUUUUCUCCGGGACAUUUAUUUUUGGGGAAGGUUAAAGACCUUAACAUUCCUCCAUGGAGGAGCUAACAUUACAGCAUUUGGAAAGGUGGCGCCGUUGCUCGAUGAACUCCGUGGCUCUUGUUCUUUGCACACGCCCCUUUCGGUGCAGUCGCUCGAGUUGACGUCCUCCUGGGUGAGGCUCUGCGGCGGUGCUGUGGCAGCAUAAAUUACCGAAAUGAAAGCUGCUCCCAUGGCGGGUCCACAGCAGUCGGCAAAAACGUGGCCUCCCCUGCACGUGUUCGCCAUGCCUUUGACACUGUGCUGUGGAUUCUUCUCCAUGGCAACCGUCCAGAGGAGAGCGGGGGGGAAAAAGCUGCAGUUGGCUUUAUAAGAUUUUAUGGGACGCCUAUUGCCCGGAAUGAACAGCAGCCAAGCAGAAAGGCGG
ensembl:lncRNA